GUGCUCGUUUUGGCAGCACAUAUACUAAAAUUGGAAGGAUACAGGGAUUAGUGUGGCCCCUAUGCAAGGAUGACAUGCAAAGUUGUGAAGCGUUCCAUAUUUUU